rnacentral:lncRNA from 1 species
UGGAAUAGUAUGCAGCCAUAAAAAAGGAUGAGUUCAUGUCCUUUGUAGGGACAUGGAUGAAAUUGGAAAUCAUCAUUCUCAGUAAACUAUCGCAAGGAGAAAAAACCAAACACCGCAUGUUCUCACUCAUAGGUGGGAAUUGAACAAUGAGAACACAUGGACACAGGAAGGGGAACAUCACACUCUGGGGACUGUUGUGGGGUGGGGGGAAGGGGGAGAGAUAGCAUUAGGAGAUAUACCUAAUGCUAAAUGACGAGUUAAUGGGUGCAGCACACCAGCAUGGCACAUGUAUACAUAUGUAACUAACCUGCACAUUGUGCACAUGUACCCUAAAACUUAAAGUAUAAUAAUAAUAAAAUAAAAUAAAAGAACAUAAUCUUACUUACAGUAGCCAUAAACAAAAAUAAAAUACCUAGGAAUGUAUCUAAUCAAAGAGGUGAAAGAUCACUAGAAGGAGAACUAUAAAACACGGCUGAAGGAAAUCAUAGAUGAUGUAAACAAAUGGGAAAACAUUCCAUGCUCAUGGAUUGGAAGAAUCAAUAUUGUUAAAAUGGCCACACUGCCCAAAGCACUCGACAGACAAUACUUUUUUUUUUUUUGAGUUGGAGUUUUGCUCUGUCACCCAGGCUGGAGUGCAGUGGCACAAUCUCAGCUCACUGCAACCUCCGCCUCCUGGGUUCAAGUAAUUCCCCUGCCUCAGCCUCCCGAGUAGCUGUGAUUACAGGCCCAUGCCACCACACUCAGCUAAUUUUUGUAUUUUUAAUAGAAACGGGGUUUCACCAUGUGGGCCAGGCUGAUCUCAAACUCCUGACCUCAGGUGAGCCAUCCACCUUGGCCUCCCAAAGUGCUGGGAUUACAGGUGUGACCCACCAUGCCUGGCCCAGAUUGAACACUAUUUCUAUCAAGCUACUAAUAUGGUUUUUCACAGGACUAGAAAAAAACAUUCUAAAAUUUAUAUGCAACCAAAAAAGAGCCCUAAUAGCCAAAGCAGUUUUAAUCAAAAAGAACAAAGCUAGAGGAUCACACUACCUGAAUUCAAAUUAUAAGGCUACAGUAACCAAAAGAGCAUGGUACUGGUACAAAAGCAGACACAUAGACGGAUGGAAUUGAAUAGAGAACCCAGAAAUAAAUCCACACACCUACAGCUAUCAAAUCUUCAACAAAGUUGACAAAAAUAAGCAUUGGGACAAGAACUCCCUACUCAAUAAAUGGUGCUGUGAUAGUUGACUAGCCAUAUGUAGAAGAAUGAUACUUGAUCCGUACUAGCAGCAUAUACAAAAAUUAAUUCAACAUGGAUUAAAGAUUUAAAUAUAAGACCUCAAACUGUAAGAGUCCUAGAAGAAAACCUAGGAAACACAAUUCUGGACGUCAGCCUUUGGAAAUAAUUUAUGACUAGGUCCUCAAAAGCAAUUGAAACAAAACUAAAAAUUGACAAGUGGAACCUAGUUAAACUAAAAAACUACACAGCAAAAGAAACUAUCAACAGAGUAAACAGCUUACAGAAUGGGAGAAAAUAUUUGCAAACUAUGCAUCUGACAAAAGUCUAAAAUUCUAAAGAAUCUAUACAGAACUUAAUUGAGCAAGCAAAAAAAAAAACCCUAUUAAAAAUGAGCAAAAGACAUGAACAGAUCUUAUCAAAAGAAAACACACAAGCGGCCAACAAACAUGAAAAAAUGUUCAACAUCAAUAAUAAUCAGAGAAACGCAAAUCAAAAACACAAUGAGAUACCACCUCACACCAGUCAGAAUGACUAUUACUAAAAAGUGAAAAAAUAGAUGCUGGCAAAGCUUUGGAGAAAAGGAAAUGCUUAUACACUGUGAGUGGGACUGUAAAUUAGUUCAGCCACAGUAGAAAGCAGUUUGGAGACUUCUCAAAGAACUUAGAACUACCUUUUCAUCAUUAAUCCCAUCACUUGGUAUAUAUCCAAAAGAAAAUAAAUUAUUCUCCCAAAAGACAAAUACUCCUGUAUGUUCAUCACAGUACUAUUCACAAUAGCAAAGACAUGAAAUCAACCUAGGUGCCCAUCAACGGUGGAUUUGAUAAAGGAAAUGUGGUAUAUACACACUAUAGAAUACUACACAGCCACAAAAAAGAAUGAAACGAUGUCCUUUGCAACAACGUGCAUGCAACUGGAGGCCACUAUCCUAAGUGAAUUAGUUCAGGAACAGAAAACCAAAUACCGCAAGCCCUCACUUAUAAGUGAGAGCUAAACACUGGGUACUUAUGGACAUAAAGAUGGCAAAAACAGACGCUGGGGACUACUGGAGGUGGGAGGGAGGGAUGGGGGUAAGGGUUGAAAAACGUUUGGGUACUAUGCUCAGUACCUGGAUGAUGGGAUCAAUCAUACCCCAAACCUCAGCAUCAUGCAAUAUGCCCAUGUAACAAAUGUGCACAUGUCCCUGAAUUAAAAAUAAAAUUUGUAAUUAUUUUUAAAAUUAAAAAAACCCAAGGCAAUUGUUUUUAAAACAUGUCUCCCCUAGAGCAUACCAAAUGCUUUGCCACAGAAUUAUGUAAUUAUGCCAUGAACUCAAUUUUAUGAGCAAAUAAGUAUAAUUUCAAUCCAGUAACCAGCAAAUCCGUUGUUGACUUUUGGAAUAUGCUAUGUUAUGUUUCAUAGCGUGCCUUCCUAGUUAUAUUUUACAGAUGUUGGUAUUUUUGUUUGUAUUUACUGAUUAUAUACCAGUUGGACAGUGGAAGGGAAAGAACCUAAAAUGAUAAAUCACCUGCAGAUAGAAAAAUGAGUAAAUAAUUUUCACCUAAAUCAAAUGUGUGCCAUUUUCCCUUUCUGGGUUUUUUGCUUUCAAUUAAUACUAAAUUUAGUUUUGUACACAUAACCAUUAGGAGGAAGAAAAGCCAACCUGUAUCUUUAUUUUAGCCAGUUCUCUAACAAUUAAUUAUAUAUAUUUAAAAGUUGGAUUUUAUCUGAGCUUUGGUUUACCUGUUAUUUACUUUUUAAAAAUACAUGGGUGUUCGUACACCAUAUAUAUUCUUUUAUAUAACAGUUUGAAAGAGUUUUCCUGAUUGCAGUGAAGUUAAUGUUCCCCCUUUUUUAGUCAUUAA